UACGUAGGGGGCAAGCGUUAUCCGGAUUUACUGGGUGUAAAGGGAGCGUAGACGGUAAAGCAAGUCUGAAGUGAAAUGCCAGUGCUCAACACUGGAACUGCUUUGGAAACUGUUUGGCUGGAGUGCAGGAGAGGCAGGCGGAAUUCCGUGUGUAGCGGUGAAAUGCGUAGAUAUACGGAGGAACACCAGUGGCGAAGGCGGCCUGCUGGACAUUAACUGACGCUGAGGCGCGAAAGCGUGGGGAGCAAACAGG
rnacentral:rRNA from 1 species